rnacentral:rRNA from 1 species
AUUAACGCGAAGAACCUUACCUGGGCUCGAACGGCUUCUGACGUUCCCUGGAAACAGGGGAUUUCCCGCAAGGGACAGGAGUCGAGGUGCUGCAUGGCUGUCGUCAGCUCGUGUCGUGAGAUGUUGGGUUAAGUCCCGCAACGAGCGCAACCCUUGUCCUGUGUUGCAACCCGAAAGGGGCACUCUCAGGAGACCGCCAGCGAUAAGCUGGAGGAAGGUGGGGAUGACGUCAAGUCAUCAUGGCCUUUAUGUCCAGGGCUACACACGUGCUACAAUGGGCGGUACAAACCGCAGCAAACCCGCGAGGGGGAGCAAAUCGGAAAAAACCGUUCUCAGUUCGGAUUGCAGGCCGCAACCCGCCUGCAUGAAGCUGGAAUCGCUAGUAAUGGUAUAUCAGAACGAUACCGUGAAUACGUUCCCGGGUCUUGUACACACGCAAU